AACCUACUAUUCCUCCGUCCGGAAAUACUUGUCUUAGAGAUGAAUGUAUCUAGACUUAUUUUAGUUAUAGAUACAUCCAUUAUAUUAAUUUCUAGGACAAGUAUUUCCGGACGGAGGGAGUACUAU
rnacentral:pre_miRNA from 1 species